GGUGGCCUAGUGGUUAGAGCGUCGGCCUCAGAUGCAAGAGGUCGUGGGUUCGAUCCCCGAUAAGAGUCA